rnacentral:lncRNA from 1 species
UUGUGUUGAGCUCCAAAGCCCCUGUCGAGCUCUUCCCCUGAAAGCCGCCUUCGAGCACAACCCCUGUCAUGUGUUCGAUGGGAAGUCUGAACCAAUGCUCAUCGUCGAUCUACGAUUAUCAAAUCAUUCUGGUCAUGGUAAGUCGAUGAAUUAUUCAGAAUAGUUCAAUUGUUGAAUAAAUUAAUGUGCUAGUGUGAUGCUCACUAGUUGCUCGAUAAAUUACGCGAGUCACGGAACUCUCGUCGACUUCGCGGUUCUUGCGAUUAUCGAGCCAGGUUCUAUUAUAGCGAGUUAUUUCGCUAUUCCGGUCAAUUAGCUGAAUUAGUGUACCAAGUAGAAUAUUAGUAGGCCAAUAUUUUAAUCCCUUGUAAAGAUGUAGUAUAAUUUAUAAAGCAAGAGAUAAGGUUAGCAUUUAAUUAAUUAGCUGGUGAGUUGUGUAGGUUAAUUGUUGUCGGCGUUUCGAGACAGGGGGGUCCCUAAGCCGACGAGUGAGUGUGCUGCGUGCCCCAGCCCAGAUGGGUCGAGCGCGUGGGCGAGCGCGAAGGGGGGAGAGGCGAGGUGGCCGGAGUCGAGCGUGAGAGAGGUGGAAGUCCCGCGGCCUUCGUGUUCGUCCCGCGCCCAGGUCAGGUGCGCUUGCAGUAGGGGGGUUACAAGCGUCCACGCGGGUGAGGGAAGCGAGCGGCCCCAAGAGAGCGCCUGUCCCGUCCUCGGUCCUGCGCGGCCAACCUUCUCUAAGAAGGCCCUGGUCCUCCCUUUUAUAGUCGUAAGGAGAGGAUCCAGGUGUACAAUGGGGGGUGUAGCAGAGUGCUACGUGUCUAGCGGAGGGAGAGCUAGCGCCCUAGGUACAUGCCAAUGUGGCAGCCUGAGAGAUCUGGGCACCCUGCUGGCGUGAUGUCGUGGCUGUCGGAGGUGCGGCGGAGCCUGGCGGAGGGACAGCUGUUGGAGCGGUCGAGUCCCUGCUGACGUCGUCCUGCUUCCGUAAGAGAGCUGGGGGGCCGCCGUCGUCAUAGAGCUUGUGGAGCGCCAUCAUUGCCCCUCCGGCGGAGCUGGCCGGAUGGGACGCCGGUCUUGUUCUCCGUGACCCGAGUCGAUUCGGGAUAGGAUGAUGAUGGCGCUUCCUGUUGACGUGGCGGUCUGAGCUCUAGGCGGGGCAACGUGGGGGUUCCUCCGAAGCCGAGGUUGAGUCUGCCUUCCGUUGUUGUGGCCGAGCCCGAGCCAUGGGGUCGGGCGAGGCGGAAGUCGUUCGGCCGAGGCCAGGGCGGAGUCCGAGCCCUGGGGUCGGGCGAGGCGGAGUUUCGUCGUCUUCCGGGUCUUAGCCCGAGUCCGAGCCCUGGGGUCGGGCGAAGCGGAGUUCGCCGUCUUCCGGGUCUUAGCCCGAGUCCGAGCCCUGGGGUCGGGCGGAGCGGAGUUCGCCGUCUUCCGGGUCUUAGCCCGAGUCCGAGCCCUGGGGUCGGGCGGAGCGGAGUUCGCCGUCUUCCGGGUCUUAGCCCGAGUCCGAGCCCUGGGGUCGGGCGGAGCGGAGUUUGCCGUCUUCCGGGUCUUAGCCCGAGUCCGAGCCCUGGGGUCGGGCGGAGCGGAGUUCGCCGUCUUCCGGGUCUUAGCCCGAGUCCGAGCCCUGGGGUCGGGCGGAGCGGAGUUCGCCGUCUUCCGGGUCUUAGCCCAAGUCCGAGCCAUGGGGUCGGGCGGGGCGGAGUUCGCCGUGGCGCCUUUGGCAAGGCCUGACUGCCUGUCAGACUCACUCUGUCGAGUGGCACUGCAGUCGGAGUGGCGCAGGCGGCGCUGUCCUUCUGUCAGACUGGCCAGUGGAGCGGUGGAGUGACGGCGGUCACUUCGGCUCUGCCGGGGGCGUGUGUCAGGAUAAAGGUGUCAGGCCACCUUUGCGUUAAAUGCCCCUGCAAUUUGGUCAGUCGGUGCGGCGAUUUAGUCAAGGUUGCUUCUGAGCGAAGCCAAGGCCUCGGGCGAGCCGGUGAUGUGUCCGCCAUAAAAAGGGGGCCUCGGGCGAGACGGAAGUCUCUCGAGGUCGGCUGCCCUUGGCCGAGGCUAGGCUCGGGUGAAGCGUGAUCGAGUCACUCGUGUGGACUGAUCCCUGACUUAAUCGUACCCAUCAGGCCUUUGCAGCUUUAUGCUGAUGGGGGUUACCAGCUGAGAAUUAGGCGUCUUGAGGGUACCCCUAAUUAUGGUCCCCGACAGUAGCCCCCGAGCCUCGAAGGGAGUGUUAGCACUCGCUUGGAGGCUUUCGUCGCACUUUUUUGCAAGGGGACCAGCCUUUCUCGGUUGCAUUUCGUUCCGGUGGGUGCGCGCGAGCGCACCCGCCGGGUGUAGCCCCCGAGGCCUCGGAGGAGUGGUUACACUCCUUCGAGGUCUUAAUACCUCGCGCAAUGCUUCGGCUGGUCUGGUCGUUCCCUCAUGCGAACUGGCCGUAGCCCGGGUGCACGGUCGGGGUCCAAGCUCUCGGGCUGGUAUGUUGACGCUGUCAACGAUUUGGCCGGAGCCGGUUUUUGCGAGAGCAGCCCCCGAGCCUCUGCACAGGGCGAGAGGGCGAUCAGGGACAGACUCGACUUUUUACAUACUCCCCUACGUCGCCUUUCCGCAAGGAGGAGGGGGGGAGUGCGCCAUGUUACCCUCGAUGGGCACCGAACAUGGUGUCUCCGGUGAGCUGCAAGCGGGUAAUCCGAGUGGACGUCCAUGCCCCGUUCGUUGGGGGUCGGCUAGGGGCCCAGAGGCACGCCCAAAAGUACCUGCGGGUGAUUUGCCGGACCCGGUCCCCUGGCGACGGGGUCCGAGGGCUCGAUGCCUCCCUCCGAUGGGAUUCCGUUACAAGAUCGUUCCCGCUGGUCUCGGAAAUGUCCUAGGGUACCUCGGGAGCGCAGCCCGAGCCUCGGUUAUGUAUCGAACGUACCCCUGGUCAUCCCUUGCUCGGUGUCUGAGGCGACUGUGAACCCUUCGGGGGCCAGCCUUCGAACCCUUGAUCAGUAAUGGGCGCGGAGCCCGAGUAGCCUGAGGCGGCCAUGGAACCCUUCAGGGGGCUGGCCUUCGAACCCCUGACCAGUAGUGGGUGUCGGGCCCACGCGAUCUGAGGCGGCUGUUGAACCCUUCGGAGGGCCAGCCUUCGAACCCCUGAUCAGUAGUGGGGGGCUCGGAGCCCGGUUCCUUCGCGGAGAAGGAUCCCUUUCGGGGUAUCCCCCUUCCCCGGUCCCUAUUGCAAGAGAUAGAGAAAGAGGAAAACGAAAAAGGAUACGAAAUCGGACGACGUGGCGUACCUUUUCUGACGCGGUUAUUACGGCGAAGGUGAAGCGUCGCGCGCUCCUCCCGUCAGAGGCGCCGCGUGUCCCGCCGCGGAGUUAAUGCGACGGGGCGAGUGGUUGGCGGGGCGGCCGUUGCGCGCGUGCGAUCCGUCCAAGGAACGGGUCACGGGUGCACCGUCUCCACGCCGUGAGAGGAGGCUCUCUUGCUGUCCCAGGAUGGGACGUGAGCCUGGCUGACGACGUGACUGCUGCGCCAGCCCGCCUGCCACCGCUAUUACUGCCGGCCCUCUUUCGGUCGCUUUGACCAACGCGCUAGGCUGGCGCUGUUGGGUCGCCUCGAGUCGCGGCAUUGGCUCCACAACCGAAGAGGCGCGAUGGUGGCACAAGUGGCGGUGCGGUUGCUUGCAUGCAGCAACUGGCGCGCCGGUUGCUCGACGCGUGGGCCUGGGUUCCCAAGCUGGCGUGUCAGAAGUUGGAGAAGCGCGUCCGUCUGGCGCGGUUGCAUGCCGCCUGCAUGGCUGCCCGCCCCUUCUGCCCGUUGGUCUGGGCGGAAAUGGGGGGUCGCUUGUAACCGCUGGACGGUCGUGCGCACCACGCGCGGCGGUCUGGCUUCUUCUGCCCUGAGCCGGCUUGCAUGACAUGCGGGACCCAGCCCCCGAGUCGCAGGGGAGGGCCUUGGAGCGUGUUGGAGAAGACUCAGCCCGUGGCGCCUGGGGGCGCACGUAGGGAGAGUUGCCUUUAAAAGGAGGGAGACUCCUUUCGGAAGGCAACCAUGUCUUCUUCCUCCCUUAAGCGCCGUGUCUUCCCAUCUUCCAAGCCCCCGGAUGGGGGGUAUCCGCCGCCUUUCCGCCUCCUCGUUGGAGGAACGCAACUCCCUGGGAGUUGGUACCUCUCAGCCAUCGUUCGGCUUCAAGGAUUUUCAUCAUGCUGCCCGGCUGCUCCCCUCCGCCGGCGGUCACCUGAGAUGGCGACCUCCAGCUUGAUGGUGGGGGAAAGCGAGCCGGGCUGUGGCCUCUUCCCCUCCCUCAGCCUCAAGGAUUUUCAUCACCAGGGCUGGGGAGGGGAGUGCGCCGAGUUGAGGUCGGCCCCCGCGUGGGCGGCGGCCCGCUCCUUCACUUAGUGAUCGGAGGGAAAGGCGGCCGUCGUCCGCGGCGCUGGCAGCUGCAGCGUGCCUGGCUUUCAGGCGCGGGUGGCUUCGGAGCCGCUCGCGGUGCCGGCAUCCGCCACGGCAGCUUGAAGAGGUUCUGCUGCCGGCGAGAUAGCCGGGGCCGGCCACGGGCUGACCUCCAACUCUACGGCCUUCUGCCCGUCCUUGCCUUACGAGUUUUGGCAUGGGCGGGGGCCUCCUGGCAGCGGCAUCUAGCCUGAGGUCGGCGUUGCCGCUGCUUGGUCCCUCGGAGCAGAAGGCGUCGUCGUCGCCGCUGCUGGAGCAGGUGACGGCGCGCCAUUCGUCGGCCUUCAGUUGCUCCGCAGGCCUUCCCCCUCGGAGUGGGGUCGUUCGUGCCUGCGGAGGGGGAACCGGAGUUCCGUUCGUAAUGGCACUUCGAAUGCCAGUGUUUUUUGUUCAUUGCGGCUGUCGGGGCCUGAACAUGUAUGUAAUUUCGGCACGGAGCCGUGUUUUUUCCUCAUUUUCGAGCACUAAGUCUCGCCUUUUGAUUAUCUAAACCGCUUUACCAAUCAUGAGUCGCCCCGUGUCAAGGUGACGGGUGAGGUAUCCGUAUCCCGGAGGCGUAGGAAUCCCUCGGCCCGUUCGGCCUUGUUGUCUGGGGUUCCUCUAGCUUAGUUAAAGAGACCCCUCGGCUGCCCUUCGGUGGACCGAGGCCAGGGGUAGCGAUAUCAGUAUGAACAGAGGCGGAGUUGGCUCGAGAAUGGGAACCUGGUUGGCUCGAGAAUGCUUACGUGUACUCCGUCGUUUCCAGGAUCCGCUUUCCGAAGUAGUCAAGAAGCACGAAAGAAAUCUUGCUAAAAAGAGAUCCUUUUUUGAGGAAAAAUUCGACGCAGAGGGGGUCUCCCCCCUUUUAGCCCCCGAGGGAGGGUCGGGCUUUGCCGAGGCUAGGCCGACCCUUCCUUGACGACUAAACUUUGCGUAGGCGCGAGGUAUAUGAACAACUUGAAAACAUCUUAAGGGUAGAAGCGACGUAGCAGUUUGAUGUUCCAAGCGUUGCCGUAGAUCUCGCCUUGAUGGUUGGCCAGCUUGUAUGUUCCGGGCUUCAGAACUUUGGCGAUGACGAAUGGCCCUUCCUAGGGGGGCGUGAGCUUGUGCCUCCCUCGGGCGUCUUGCCACAGCCGAAGCACCAGAUCGCCCACCUGGAGUUCUCGGGACCGGACCCCUCGGGCGUGGUAGCGUCGCAGGGACUGUUGGUACCGCGCCGAGUGUAGUAAGGCCCUGUCCCGAGCUUCCUCCAGCUGGUCCAGCGAUUCCUCUCGGCUAGCUUGGUUGCUUUGUUCGGUGUAGGCCCUCGCCCUCGGGGAGCCGUAUUCCAGGUCAGUGGGCAAGAUAGCUUCAGCCCCGUAGACCAAGAAAAACGGCGUGAAGCCCGUGGCACGACUCGGCGUCGUCCUUAGGCUCCAGACCACCGAGGGGAGUUCCUUCAUCCAUCGCUUGCCGAAUUUGUUGAGGUCGUUGUAGAUCCGAGGCUUGAGCCCUUGUAGAAUCAUGCCGUUGGCACGCUCUACUUGCCCAUUCGACAUGGGAUGAGACACGGCGGCCCAGUCCACCCGGAUAUGGUGAUCCUCGCAAAAAUCCAAGAAUUUUUUGCCGGUGAACUGGGUGCCGUUGUCGGUGAUGAUGGAGUUCGGGACCCCGAAGCGAUGGAUGAUGUUGGUGAAGAACGCCACCGCCUGCUCGGACCUGAUGCUGUUCAGAGGUCGGACCUCGAUCCACUUGGAGAAUUUGUCGAUGGCGACCAGCAGGUGCGUGUAGCCCCCGGGCGCCUUCUGCAAGGGACCAACGAGGUCCAGACCCCAUACAGCGAAGGGCCAAGUGACGGGUAUUGUCUGCAGAGCCUGAGCGGGCAGGUGCGUCCGCUUCGCAUAGAAUUGGCACCCUUCGCAGGUGCGGACAAUUCUAGUGGCGUCAGCCACCGCAGUUGGCCAGUAGAAGCCUUGCCGGAAAGCAUUUCCGACAAGGGCUCGGGGCGCUGCGUGGUGGCCGCAAGCCCCCGAGUGUAUUUCUUGCAGCAGUUCCCGACCUUCGGCGAUGGAGAUGCAUCGCUGGAGGAUGCCCGAGGGGCUGCGAUGGUAGAGCUCCUCUUCGUCGCCCAGCAAGACGAAUGACUUGGCGCGUCGCGCUACCCGCCGAGCCUCGACUUGGUCGAGGGGUAGCUCUCCUCGACGGAGAUAUUGCAGGUACGGGGCCUGCCAAUCUUGAUCUGGCGUGGCCCCGCUCUGCCCUUCCUCGACGUUCAGUGCCUCACCCUCGGAGGCCGAGGGUACCUUGGGCUGUGCCGAGGGUACCUCGGGCUGUGCCGAGGGUACCUCGGGCUGUGCCGAGGGUACCUCGGGCUGAGCCGAGGGUACCUCGGGCUCGGGCGCGUCGUCGAGCUUGACGGAGGGUUGAUGCAGAUCCCGGGAGAAGACGUCCGGGGGGACUGUCGUUCGCCCCGAGGCUAUCUUAGCUAGCUCGUCUACGGUUUCGUUGUAGCGCCGAGCGAUGUGGUUGAGCUCGAGCCCGAAGAACUUGUCUUCCAGGCGCCGAACCUCAUCGCAGUAGGCCUCCAUCUUUGGGUCGCGGCAGUGGGAGUUCUUCAUGACUUGGUCGAUGACGAGCUGCGAAUCACCACGGGCGUCGAGGCGUCUGACCCCUAGCUCGAUGGCGAUCCGCAAUCCGUUGACCAGAGCUUCGUACUCGGCCACAUUGUUGGACGCCGGGAAAUGGAGGCGCAGCACGUAGCGCAAGUGCUUUCCGAGGGGCGAGAUGAAGAGCAGGCCUGCGCCGGCCCCCGUCUUCAUCAGCGACCCGUCGAAAAACAUGGUCCAGAGCUCCGGUUGGAUCGGAGUCGUCGGCAGCUGGGUGUCGACCCAUUCGGCCACGAAAUCCGCCAACACCUGGGACUUGAUGGCCUUCCGAGGGGCGAACGAGAUCGUUUCGCCCAUGAUUUCCACCGCCCACUUUGCGAUCCUGCCCGAGGCCUCUCGGCACUGGAUGAUCUCCCCCAGGGGGAAGGAUGACACCACAGUUACCGGAUGAGAUUCGAAGUAGUGUCGCAGCUUCCGCCUUGUCAGGAUCACAGCAUACAGCAGCUUUUGAACUUGCGGGUAGCGGAUCUUAGUCUCGGACAGCACUUCGCUGAUGAAGUAGACCGGCCUCUGAACGGGCAAUGCAUGCCCUUCCUCUUGCCUUUCGACCACAAUCGCGGCGCUAACCACCUGAGUGGUCGCGGCAACGUAGACCAAGAGGGCUUCUCCGUCCGCCGGGGGCACCAAGACAGGCGCCUUUGUAAGGAGCGCCUUCAGGUUGCCGAGGGCUUCCUCGGCCUCGGGGGUCCAAGCGAAACACUCGGCCUUCCUUAAGAGGCGGUACAGAGGCAGACCUCUUUCGCCGAGGCGUGAGAUGAAGCGGCUCAGGGCCGCGAGGCAUCCCAUGACCCUCUGUACCCCUUUUAAGUCCUUGAUGGGUCCCAUGCUGGUGAUGGCCGCGAUCUUCUCCGGGUUGGUUUCGAUGCCUCGCUCGGAGACGAUGAACCCUAGGAGCAUGCCUCGGGGCACCCCGAAGACACACUUCUCAGGAUUAAGCUUGACUCCUUUCGCCUUGAGACACCGGAAUGUCACUUCAAGGUCGGAGAGGAGGUCGGAAGCCUUCCUUGUCUUGACUACGAUGUCAUCGAUGUAGGCCUCGACUGUACGACCGAUGUGUUCGCCGAACACAUGGUUCAUGCACCGCUGGUACGUUGCGCCCGCAUUCCUCAAACCAAACGGCAUGGUGACAUAGCAGUACAUGCCGAACGGCGUGAUGAAAGAAGUCGCGAGCUGGUCGGACUCUUUCAUCCGGAUCUGGUGAUACCCUGAGUAGGCAUCGAGGAAGGACAGGGUUUCGCACCCAGCGGUGGAAUCCACGAUUUGGUCGAUGCGAGGCAGAGGGUAGGGAACCUUCGGACAUGCUUUAUUGAGACCAGUGUAGUCUACACACAUCCGCCAUUUCCCCCCUUUCUUUCUCACAAGCACAGGGUUGGCAAGCCAUUCGGGAUGGAAUACCUCUUUGAUGAACCCUGCUGCCAUUAGCUUGUGGAUCUCUUCGCCAAUCACUCUGCGCUUCUCCUCGUCGAAUCGGCGCAGAGGCUGCCUGACGGGUCGGGCUCCGGCCCGAAUACCCAGCGAGUGCUCGGCGACAUCCCUCGGUAUGCCGGGCAUGUCUGAGGGACUCCACGCAAAGACGUCGGCGUUCGCACGGAGAAAGUCGACGAGCACUGCUUCCUAUUUGGGGUCGAGCCCGGAACCGAUCUGGACCUGCUUGGUGGUGUCGCCACUGGGGUCGAGAGGGACGGCCUUGACCGUCUCCGCUGGUUCGAAGUUGCCGGCGUGGCGCUUCACGUCUGGCACCUCCUUGGAGAGGUUCUCCAGGUCGGCGAUGAGGGCCUCGGACUCGGCGAGGGCCUCGGCAUACUCCACGCACUCCACGUCGCAUUCGAACGCGUGUUUAUACGUGGGGCCGACGGUGAUGACCCCGUUGGGGCCCGACAUCUUGAGCUUCAAGUAGAUGUAAUUGGGGACGGCCAUGAACUUCGCGUAGCAUGGCCUCCCUAGCACGGCGUGGUAGGUUCCCCGGAACCCGACCACCUCGAACGUCAGGGUCUCCCUUCGGAAGUUGGAGGGUGUCCCGAAGCAGACGGGGAGGUCGAGUUGCCCGAGGGGCUGGACGCACUUCCCAGGGAUGAUCCCGUGGAAGGGCGCAGCGCCUGCUCGGACGGAGGACAGAUCGACGCGCAGGAGCUUGAGGGUCUCGGCGUAGAUGAUGUUGAGGCAGCUGCCCCCAUCCAUCAGGACCUUGGUGAGCCUGACAUCGCCGACAACGGGGUCGACGACGAGCGGGUAUUUCCCCGAGCUCGGCACAUGAUCAGGGUGGUCGGCCUGGUCGAAAGUGAUGGGCUUGUCGGACCAGUCUAGGUAGACUGGCGCCGCCACCUUCACCGAGCAGACCUCUCGGCGCUCUUGCUUGCGGUGCCGAGCCGAGGUAUUCGCCGCAUGCCCUCCAUAGAUCAUGAAGCAGUCGCGGACCUCGGGGAACUCUCCUGCUAGGUGAUCUUCGUUCUUGUCGUCGUCGCGGGCCCUGCCACCCUCGGCGGGUGGCCCGGCCCUGUGGAAGUGACGCCGAAGCAUAACGCACUCCUCGAGGGUGUGCUUGACGGGCCCCUGAUGGUAGGGGCACGGCUCCUUGAGCAUCUUGUCGAAGAGGUUUGCACCUCCGGGGGGCUUCCGAGGGUUCUUAUACUCGGCGGCGGCGACAAGGUCCGCGUCAGUGGCGUCGCGUUUCGAUUGCGACUUCUUCUUGCCUUUCUUCUUGGCGCCGCGCGGAGCAGACGCCUCGGGAGCUUCUUUCGAUGGGCGGCCCUGGGGCUGCUUGUCCUUUCGGAAGAUAGCCUCGACCGCCUCCUGGCCAGAGGCGAACUUGGUGGCGAUGUCCAUCAGCUCGCUCGCCUUGGUGGGGGUUUUAUGACCCAGCUUGCUCACCAGGUCGCGGCAAGUGGUGCCGGCGAGGAACGCGCCGAUGACAUCCGAGUCGGUGAUGUUGGGCAGCUCGGUGCGCUGCUUCGAGAAUCGCCGGAUGUAGUCCCGAAGCGGCUCCCCCGGCUGUUGCCGGCAGCUUCGAAGGUCCCAAGAAUUCCCGGGGCGCACGUAUGUGCCCUGGAAAUUGCCAGCGAAGGCUUGGACCAAGUCGUCCCAGUUGGAGAUCUGCCCCGGAGGCAGGUGCUCCAACCAGGCGCGAGCAGUGUCGGAGAGGAACAGGGGGAGGUUACGGAUGAUGAGGUUGUCGUCGUCCGUUCCACCCAGUUGGCAGGCAAGGCGGUAGUCCGCGAGCCACAGUUCCGGUCUCGUUUCCCCCGAGUACUUCGUGAUAGUAGUCGGGGGUCGGAACCGGGUCGGGAAUGGCACCCGUCGGAUGGGCCGACUGAAGGCCUGCGGACCGGGUGGUUCGGGCGAGGGACUCCGAUCCUCCCCGCUGUCGUAGCGCCCCCACGCCUGGGGUGGUAGCCUCGGCGCACCCUUUCGUCGAGGUGAGCCCGACGGUCGCGUCGAUGGUGCUCGUUGCCGAGGUGGCCCGGGGCCGCAGGCGCGGUGUUGCACGUGCGCCCGGUGUAGACCGAGGCUUCCCGCAUGAAUCGGGAAGUCGCGGCAUGAGGUUCCGAGGGAUAACCUUGCCUUCGGGAGGCAGUGCUCUCGGCCCGCCGGGCCGCAGCGCCUUCCAGGAGAUUCUUGAGUUCUCCCUGGAUUCGCCGACCCUCGGUGGUUGACGGCUCCGGCAUCGCGCGGAUGAGCAUCGCUGCGGUUGCCAGGUUCUGACCAACCCCGCUGGAUGCGGGCGGCGGCCUGAUCCUGACAUCGUUGGCGACGCGGUGCUGGAGACCUUGGGGCAGGUGACGUAUUUCUCCGGCCAGGGGUUGGCCCACCCAUGCCUGUCCGACGUCCCGACGGAUCGGCUCAAGCGCUCCUGUUCCCUCGUUGAGCCUGGCCUGCACCUCGCGGACUUGCUCGAGUUGUGGGUCGUAACCCCCCGCCGGAGCGGGGACCACAGCUAGCUCCCGUGGGAUGUCGGCGCGAGGCACCGGCCUAGGGAGAUCACCGUCCUCCGGCAUGCCAAGAUGGUUGCCUUCGGAGGGAUCCCCUAGCUCGAUGUGGAAACAUUCGCGGCUUGGGCCGCAGCUCUCGUCGCCAAGGCUGCGGCUUCCAUCGGAACAGUCGGAUAGGCAGUAGUCACAUGCGGUCACGAAGUCCCGCACGGCACUGGGGUUGCCAAGUCCGGAGAAAUCCCAAGCGAUGCUGGGAUCGUCAUCUUCCUCGGACCCAGAGGGCCCGUAGGUCGAGACGUCCGUCAGUCGGUCCCAAGGCGACCGCAUACGGAACCUCAGUGGGGUUGCACUCGCCUCGAUGAGAGCGCCCGCCAAAACGAGGUCGUUUGGCGGGUUGAGGCCGAGUCGAAAUGACGCAAGAUGGGAGUUAGUCGGUACCUUUUUGUCGACGAGGAGCGACGUAGUCACAUCGGGGACUGGUUGCACCGUCAACUCUGGUUCGAGGGCGACGUCCUGCAGGCUUUCCGCGAGCGCGCCGGCGUCGUCUUCUUGUUCGGGGUCAGCGUGCCGCGGGGGGACGGCGCUUGCCUCCGUCUUGAACGCGAGGUCGACGUCCGGCGUGCCUUCCGUCGGGGCGUCGGGGGCGUCGAUUCGCUCGACGGCCGACGAAGCGCGGCCUCCCACCUGGCCUUGACGGCCCCGCCUCCUCCUCCGUUGGCGGGGGAGAGAACGGAGCGAGCCCGAAUAUUGCCCUUCCACCACGCGGGGAAGACGUCGUCGAUUCCGCCGCCGGCGGGCGGGUUGUCGGCCGCCAUUGUCGUAGUCGCGCGGCGGUGGAAGAAGUAUCAUGUCGUAGCUGCCGUCGAAGGACAUGAACUCAAGAGUCCCGAAACGAAGCACCGUCCCGGGCCGGAGAGGUUGCUGGAGACUGCCCAUCUGGAGCUUGACGGGGAGCUGUUCGUCAGCACGCAGCAGGCCCCUACCUGGCGCGCCAACUGUCGGCGUUUCGAGACAGGGGGGUCCCUAAGCCGACGAGUGAGUGUGCUGCGUGCCCCAGCCCAGAUGGGUCGAGCGCGUGGGCGAGCGCGAAGGGGGGAGAGGCGAGGUGGCCGGAGUCGAGCGUGAGAGAGGUGGAAGUCCCGCGGCCUUCGUGUUCGUCCCGCGCCCAGGUCAGGUGCGCUUGCAGUAGGGGGGUUACAAGCGUCCACGCGGGUGAGGGAAGCGAGCGGCCCCAAGAGAGCGCCUGUCCCGUCCUCGGUCCCGCGCGGCCAACCUUCUCUAAGAAGGCCCUGGUCCUCCCUUUUAUAGUCGUAAGGAGAGGAUCCAGGUGUACAAUGGGGGGUGUAGCAGAGUGCUACGUGUCUAGCGGAGGGAGAGCUAGCGCCCUAGGUACAUGCCAAUGUGGCAGCCGGAGAGAUUUGGGCACCCUGCUGGCGUGAUGUCGUGGCUGUCGGAGGUGCGGCGGAGCCUGGCGGAGGGACAGCUGUUGGAGCGGUCGAGUCCCUGCUGACGUCGUCCUGCUUCCGUAAGAGAGCUGGGGGGCCGCCGUCGUCAUAGAGCUUGUGGAGCGCCAUCAUUGCCCCUCCGGCGGAGCUGGCCGGAUGGGACGCCGGUCUUGUUCUCCGUGACCCGAGUCGAUUCGGGAUAGGAUGAUGAUGGCGCUUCCUGUUGACGUGGCGGUCUGAGCUCUAGGCGGGGCGACGUGGGGGUUCCUCCGAAGCCGAGGUUGAGUCUGCCUUCCGUUGCUGUGGCCGAGCCCGAGCCAUGGGGUCGGGCGAGGCGGAAGUCGUUCGGCCGAGGCCAGGGCGGAGUCCGAGCCCUGGGGUCGGGCGAGGCGGAGUUUCGUCGUCUUCCGGGUCUUAGCCCGAGUCCGAGCCCUGGGGUCGGGCGGAGCGGAGUUCGCCGUCUUCCGGGUCUUAGCCCGAGUCCGAGCCCUGGGGUCGGGCGGAGCGGAGUUCGCCGUCUUCCGGGUCUUAGCCCGAGUCCGAGCCCUAGGGUCGGGCGGAGCGGAGUUCGCCGUCUUCCGGGUCUUAGCCCGAGUCCGAGCCCUGGGGUCGGGCGGAGCGGAGUUCGCCGUCUUCCGGGUCUUAGCCCGAGUCCGAGCCCUGGGGUCGGGCGGAGCGGAGUUCGCCGUCUUCCGGGUCUUAGCCCGAGUCCGAGCCCUGGGGUCGGGCGGAGCGGAGUUCGCCGUCUUCCGGGUCUUAGCCCGAGUCCGAGCCCUGGGGUCGGGCGGGGCGGAGUUCGCCGUGGCGCCUUUGGCAAGGCCUGACUGCCUGUCAGACUCACUCUGUCGAGUGGCACUGCAGUCGGAGUGGCGCAGGCGGCGCUGUCCUUCUGUCAGACUAGCCAGUGGAGCGGUGGAGUGACGGCGGUCACUUCGGCUCUGCCGGGGGCGUGUGUCAGGAUAAAGGUGUCAGGCCACCUUUGCGUUAAAUGCCCCUGCAAUUUGGUCAGUCGGUGCGGCGAUUUAGUCAAGGUUGCUUCUGAGCGAAGCCAAGGCCUCGGGCGAGCCGGUGAUGUGUCCGCCAUAAAAAGGGGGCCUCGGGCGAGACGGAAGUCUCUCGAGGUCGGCUGCCCUUGGCCGAGGCUAGGCUCGGGUGAAGCGUGAUCGAGUCACUCGUGUGGACUGAUCCCUGACUUAAUCGUACCCAUUAGGCCUUUGCAGCUUUAUGCUGAUGGGGGUUACCAGCUGAGAAUUAGGCGUCUUGAGGGUACCCCUAAUUAUGGUCCCCGACAAUUGUAUUUCAUGUGUAUAGUUUAUUGUUCGCGAUGUUUGUGUUAGAUUCGAGAAGCAUAAUUAUUGCGCUUAAUUGUACGUCGAUAAUUAGUGUCUCCGUAUGAAAUUGUUCAACGUCUCACCACUAGGUGUUUAAUAUGCUAUCGUAUAGCACCAUUUAGAUUUGUGCUAUUCUUGUUUAUAUGCAUUCAUGUGCACCGUGCAUCUCAAUUAGGUACGAUAAUUGAUCGCGUGAUGCGGAAGACAAGCCAAGUCGACCCCAAGCGCGGACUAAUCCGCAGGAUGAUGCUGAUGGACGAACCGGAAGAUGGAUAAUCUGAACGAGUGCCAAGCCAAAGGAUGCUCGCCAAGUGGUCGCCUAACAAACACUAACCUAGUGUUACUCAGGCAACCCCGGUGCAUGCAACCCCUUCCUUGUGUUUUUAAAUACUUUUCGCACACUUUAAGUCUAGUGAAAUGUGCAUUAGGUUUAUAGGAGUUGCUUGAAACCCUUUGAUGCAUUGCCUUCCUUGAUAUCCAUACCUGUUAUAGAUACUUCUUUGGAAGUAUCAAAAUUUGAUUUACAAAAAUGCUUAGCCCUGCUUAGAUCUUGUGGAUAGAGGUUGUCUUUUGCGUUAAGGCCUUGCUCAGGGGUUAUCCUGAGGAAAGAUGACUUCUACCUGCAAGGUUAUAUUUUCAUUGGGAGCAUGGUGGGACCUUACUGCAAAGUUCCCUAUGAUGCUCUUUUCAUCCUAAGGAAAACAAACAAUCCUAAGGGUGUAAAUACUUAAAUCGGGACUUGGGUUAGGAACGGGUGAUGUUCUACCCAGGUUGAUUAAGGAUUGAACGUGUAUGUAGGUGUGCUGACCGCAGACCCUUUAACUGGUCACAUGCCUCGUCAUGGGUAAGCCUUGCCUCGGGCAGACUAAGGCCAGAAUAAGAUAACACGAAAUGGGCAUGGAGCGGUGGCGAGAGUAGCGUGUACCCUCCGUGGCAAGAGACUAGACGGUGGUGUAUCUGUGCUCUCGGUUUGCGUGAACCUGAUCUGGUCUUAAGAACCCCGGUGGCGGGUUGACAUAUGCAAGGGUUAAGUGCUACAUAUGUCGUGUGAUUGGAGAUCCUCAGCUGAGUAUAAUCGAUUCGGAUCGCCGUACCUUCGCGGUUAUGAAGACGUGGUCACUUGUCUACAACCUAAGUCAGGAUGUGAACAUUAUGGAUAAAAAUAAUGUUGUAUUGAUGAGAUGAUGAAAUUAGACUAAAGGCAAACAGAGUCUAUUAAUACUUAAUCUGGCGUUAAAAUGUUGAAAGUAAGGACUCACUUUAGUAAGCUAUUUCUGCAAAAGUAUCUAAGUUGAUUUUUGCUAAAGCCUCUCCUUGAUUCCUAUUUAUCCAUCAUACCCUUGAGAGUCUUUUCCUUAGUCGGGUAAGACUUGCUGAGUAAUUCCAUACUCAGGGUUUUAUUCCCUGUUGUUUUUCAGGUUUUAACUUUGUGCUGUUGUUGAUGGUGUUAAGUGCCGGUGGGCUCGGCCUUCUUAUAAGUCUAAGUACUUCUUCUAUACUUCUUAUUGAGGAUGGUCACUUGAGCUAGCAUAUAUUUCAAACUUAUACUUUUGUAAUCACUCCGAUAAAAUAAUGUAAAAUUUUUGUAACCUGUAAAAUUUGGUAGUAAGAUUUCCGCUGCAACAAUAUUGGUGUGUGUGAUUUGUGUUACUUAAUCCCGCGGUUCUGGUUGUAAGUGGUUUAUCCGAUGUCCUUGGGGGCAAUCGGACGGAUCCUGUUAAGUUAUUUAGUGCACAUGCAUAGCUGUCUGAGGUCUUUGAGACAAGGACAUGUGCAUGUGGGCCCAAUAACUUGGGAGGUUCUGCCACAGCUGGUAUCGGAGCAGGAUUAAGUAUAUACGGUCACAUACGUAUUUUCAAAACAAAAGUUUUGGUUUUAGAAAACCUAUUUUCAACUAAACACAUUGUUUGGCUUUGAAAAACAGUUUUGAAAAACUAUAAUGCUAGCGACAUCCUCUGUUAAGCCCUAAGUUAAGGACUAUUAGGUGGCUUAUUUGAAAACCAUAACCCACAACCGGGUGGGUAUUGCAUACAUGUGUAUUGUUAUUUUUAAGGCCAUUCAGUCUUGAAUGGAUCGACACUAAGGUAAGGUGAGAUGUGAGAGCAUGACCGAACAAUUGUCGGUCUAGGGAAGUGUUUAAUUGUUGCGCUUGAUUAUAUACAUGUUACACAUAUGUAUAUAUGAAGGCUGCGAUCUGGAGUAUUUGAUUUUCUGGGAAUUCAGUACCCCAUGGAUGUGUAUGGGUAUACAGACAUGGGAAUACUGAGAAGUGUAUUGUACUUGUAACGACGCACCUACGCUCAGGUAAGAAGGUGAGUUACCAUAAUGAGUUGCCCUAUGGUUAAAGUGUGGCAACGGCGCCUAUGCGUGGCUCGGCGCUUAAUGAUGAGCUGGCCUCCAUAUAGCGAUAUAUGGAGUAUAACCUGUGAUAAACUGUCAUGCGUGAACUGCAUCAUGGGAAAAUGGGCUGUGAUGGAUUUUUCUGCAGGUACACUAACCUCGAAAACGUAUGUGUAGCUGACGACUAGCAAAAUACCGAGAGAGAACGUAUGCCACCGAUAUAGAACGUUAUUGCCACAUUAUGUUGGCAAAAUCAGUGAGGACGUAUAGGACGAGCAUGCAUCUUGAUUGUUGCAUCCUGUUUGUCACCUAUACACCCAAAAUGCUUCUCUCAUCUUUAUUCCAGAAACCAUUGAUUGUAAAUAAUAUGGUGUCUUAAAGCUACAUGUUUAGAUAGCUUUCAGGCUGUUUCAAUUUGACCAUUAGUGCAAAUGGUAUUUGCUCUUGUGCUUGAUGUACUAAUAGAAAGUUAGUGACUUGUUUGCCUAAACCCAAAUCUAGGCCAUGCUCUUAGUUGGUGAACCAUGAUCAAGGUUGAUUUUUCCGUUACCCCUCCUUGACCCAAAUUUAUACAAAUAAAUGUUUAGAUAAUUUCUUCGUUGGACAAAAAGGGUACUUAAGCUUAAAAUAAGAAUCUCGACUCAUAUUUCUAUCUUAGACCAUGCCCUUGACAAUUGGUACAAGCUGAUGUACCUUAUCCAGUUUGCCUGCCCUUAAGGAUCGCCAUGUUGCUUUAUCAACCUAAUCUAGGAAAGGCAUGUUUGAUUAUUUUCUUGAAUUUGGUGCCUUUGAUUUUCUCAUAUCUAUCGAAGGCAUACCAACUUAAUCCUUGACUUGUAAUUUUUGCGAUGGCAUAGAAAUAUGCUUGGGGCUGAAGUAACAGUCUCCCAUUGUACUUCUCUCAUCAAGUUUAGGUUAUGGCCAUGUUUUGUUCAUUUCAUUGGGUCAUAAUCUAUUUGGCUCUCUACUUGUAACCAUUCUUACAGGUAGAGUAUCUCCUUGUAUAUUGUCACCCUUGCCCAAUCCAUUGGUGUCGUGCGAGAUUUCUUAUUGGUUACGUCUGGUAAUGGCGUUAUGACUAAAACUGAUGAUGCCGUGACGAAACCGAGGGCCUUCUGUGUGUGCGCACACAUGGUUGUGCUGCUCGGCACGCGCUGGUAUCACAGUUAGUAGUUGUAAUCCACUAUGAGACUAUGUCAAUACGUUAUCUUGGCACAAUCUGUUUUUGCUACGUGAGAUUGUUAUUGGUGCCAGUUCGAUAGUGGUGUCAUGGUUAAUGACUUAUGGUGCCGCAGCGAAACUGAGAGCCUCCUGUGAAUGCGCACACAGGAUUGUGCUACUCCUCGAUGCUGGCAUCAAGGUCUCUGGUCAUGAUCCAUUGUGGAACUGCAUUGAUGUGUGAUCUUUCGUGGAGUCCUCCCUUGAAACAAUUUCUAUGUUGUUUGUCAAGUGAUCAAGCAACAUCUAUCAUCUCUGUUGGAUCAAAAGGGCAUACCACUUUCAUGUGUGAUCUCUUAUCUCUUGACUUUAAUGGUGACUUCACACAUACAAGUUCCCUUUACAUCCUUUGUGUAAAGGUGAAGCCUUGGAGCUUUUUAGUGUUGCAAGACAACCAAUUAGUUCCCAAAAUGGAGAUUUGUUUCCCCUGCUGCUGAAAUACAGGAGUUUGUUCAUUCGCUCUCUUAUUUAAUCCAUGUAUUCCCUAACCAAGUCGGUUCAUCUCAUAUAGAAGAAACGGAUGAACGACCAGACCAAAUGGAUUCCUGCCCAAAUGCAUGACCAACUGUUAAUAUGAGUAAACUCUGAACCCUUGGCUUACCGAUGGUACUGAGAGGACUUACUCAAUGUCAAAAGUAGUUCAACAAGUUGGUUUUGACUAACUUGUAACUGCAUUUGAAACAAAGGUUGAGUUUAGAGAUCGUUUUAUCGAUUUGCCAGAACUCACUUUGGUCUAACCGACUCUAAAGAAAGUACUCACAAAAGUUAAGUUAAGUCGACCAAUAACCACCUAAUCAUCGCUCUAGUCGUGCCUCGAUCACCUCACGUGUGCUUUUCGAGCAUGUGUGAUUAAGUCGAGCCAUGGUUAGUAUUUGAUGAAAUGGGUUGGUCGCGAAGUCAACAUCAAUGGAUCUCUUCAUUGAUAUUUUCUCGAAUCUUUAUCGUCUUUCAUGGACUUGAAUUCUCUGGUUAGCCAUAUGUUAACCAUGACAGUAUUCGACAUCCACAUCCGUCUUGUGUGCUACGAACUCACUGUGACCACUUGUUGGUAAACCUCUUUCUGUGUGUUUUACCCAAGAGGUUGCAUCUGGUUCUGUUUGGGUAAAGCCGUAUAUCUAUCGCUCGCUCAACAGACUCAGAUAGUACCGUGUCAUCAGAAAAAGCAAACUGCACACAUGGAACCUUAUGUGUUCUUCUGGCAGGCAUUGUCUCUAUUGUUGGACAUCUCUAAAUUAGCCUAAGGCGAUAUAUGUUAUGUCCACUAGAGAAACCACAUCCUGAGACACUCGUCUUUGUUUGGAACUACCACAGGGUUAUCGCUGAUAUGGACAUGUUACAUACUUCUCUACCCUUAGAAGUCUUUCGCUCUGAAUCUCGGGACGAGAUUCUUUUAAGGGGGGAGGGCUGUAACACCCCUAGUGUUUAUAUUCCGCUCGACAACGAGUAUGGAUUUAAGCACGUAAUAUCAGUGGAUAAAACAGAUGCUAAAUUCUUAAACAUCUUCGUCUAUCACGAUUUUUAUAUCGCAUCUGUUCCAUCUGUCGCGAGUGCGACGACGUUUUUAUUUUUAUCUAUUCGGGCUCCUCCUAAAUUUUGGUGACGUUCGGAACAUCGUUGUUUCGAAGGUCAGUGCGUCCGGUGAUUAUUUAAAAUUCAUCGCUCGCGCGAAUACGAAUUCGGAAGUCCGACUCACUCGGAUGAUUUUUAUCACAAGCAAAUUAGUUGGAACUUGACGACUAAAAUGUUCAGGGCAAAAUAGUCUGAAUCGCGUGUUGUCCGAGAAAAAUCGUGCGUGAUGUUAUAAUCCAAUUUAUUCUUCAGCACGCUGUUUCGAAGACAAAAUCGUGUAUACGUUCGCAGAUAUUAUUUCGGCUAAUUUCGGUCGAAUCACGCCGAACAAAUUAUCAGUGCCGAAAUCAGUUUAUUUCGGUCUAUCGUUUCUCGCCUAGAUCCCAAAACUUCGGAUAUAAAUAAUGGGUGAAAAUUUAUCUGACUGCAAAGUAUUCACUAAAUUAAAUCCGGUUUAAAUAUUGUUGUCGAUCUUAUUUGGUUCGACCCUUUUAUAUAUCUUGUAGACCCUCGUUUCAUACCCUAAAAUAUCUGCAUUUCACUUUUGUAAAAAUAAGUAAAAAUAGGAAAUAUCUUUCUAGAUUUUUCGGAGCUAUUUUCAUCUCCUUCCCUCUUCCGUGGAGCACUAGCAUAUCCUCUUGAGCCUAGGAUUUUUUUUCACGAAACGACUCACGAGUUCAGCUCAAGAAAUAUCACCACACAGAUAUCUCCCUUAUCUUCUUCCCUCGCGUAAGUUCUGCUCAUUUUAUUCCAACCAUUGUUCUCAUCCGUUUGGGCAGCAAGGAAAAAUCUGGCCGCCGUCUUCAUCUCCUCCCGUCGCUAUCCUCUAUGCCGUCGUCCUCAGCCAUCGCAAGAUUUUUCCGGCAGCCAAAGCUCCCACCGUCGUUCUCUCUUGAUAUUUCCUGGCUGUCGGUGUUUAUCCCCUCUCGCGCUCGGCUCCCAGGAGCAGAUUUUCUGGCCGCCCAGCUGUUUCUUCCUCCCUGGGCUCGGAUUUCCUCUACCCCAACCGGGCCUCCCUGCGCGCCGUGGAGCUCUAGCUCGGUGUUUCCCCAGCUCGCCCUGGUCGUCUCCAGCUCGCCGAGCUCUGCCCGCUCCCCAUGGCCGAGCUCCAUCCCUGCCCCUCUUCAACUCAGCUCGCCUCUCUUUCUCUCUGUACGCACGCUGUCUCUUUCUUUCCCAAACCGUGACUCCGCCGUGGAGCUCCCCGCGGCUCAACUCGAAGUUCCUCCCCGCUCGGCGCCCAACCCCUGCGUCGCGUCCAUCCUCUGCUCUUCCUGUUCGCCGGCAGAAGCUCCCAGAGCCGAGCGUUCCUUCUCUUCGCCGUGCGCCCAGCCGUCGAAGCUCCCUGCCUUCGUCGUUUUCGGCCCUGCCGUUGGUACAACAUCAUUUACUGUUGCUAGUUGAUGCAACGUUGUCGUCCUUCGACGCCGCGCCGUGAGCAGCGACUUCGUCGAUCCGUCAUUUUGACAGGGUACUUGCGCUGCUCUCCUGUGUAUGUGAUGAUUGGAAAAGGAGUCCCAGCUGAUGAAGGAUUAAGCUGAUGAAGGAUUAAGGAACGAAAGCUCUAGUACACCGCCUGCCAGCUGAUCGUCGUACAUCCUGAACCAGGGUUUAAUCAUUUUCUUUGUGAAGUUCGAGCCGAUUAUAAUUUUGGAAGGAGAUUUGGUGCUGAAGUCGAAGCUAGCAGCCCCUUUAUUCUUCGUCGUCAACCCACGCCGCGUCGCGACGUGCCCGUCGAUCCCGACGAUCUAUCUGCCAGAUGUGUGCCACUUGUGUUGAGCUCCAAAGCCCCUGUCGAGCUCUUCCCCUGAAAGCCGCCUUCGAGCACAACCCCUGUCAUGUGUUCGAUGGGAAGUCUGAACCAAUGCUCAUCGUCGAUCUACGAUUAUCAAAUCAUUCUGGUCAUGGUAAGUCGAUGAGUUAUUCAGAAUAGUUCAAUUGUUGAAUAAAUUAAUGUGCUAGUGUGAUGCUCACUAGUUGCUCGAUAAAUUACGCGUCACGGAACUCUCGUCGACUUCGCGGUUCUUGCGAUUAUCGAGCCAGGUUCUAUUAUAGCGAGUUAUUUCGCUAUUCCGGUCGAUUAGCUGAAUUAGUGUACCGAGUAGAAUAUUAGUAGGCCAAUAUUUAAAUCCCUUGUAAAGAUGUAGUAUAAUUUAUAAAGCAAGAGAUAAGGUUAGCAUUUAAUUAAUUAGCUGGUGAGUUGUGUAGGUUAAUUGUAUUUCAUGUGUAUAGUUUAUUGUUCGUGAUGUUUGUGUUAGAUUCGAGAAGCGUAAUUAUUGCGCUUAAUUGUACGUCGAUAAUUAGUGUCUCCGUAUGAAAUUGUUCAACGUCUCACCAUUAGGUGUUUAAUAUGCUAUCGUAUAGCACCAUUUAGAUUUGUGCUAUUCUUGUUUAUAUGCAUUCAUGUGCAUCGUGCAUCUCAAUUAGGUACGAUAAUUGAUUGCGUGAUGCGGAAGACAAGCCAAGUCGACCCCAAGCGCGGACUAAUCCGCAGGAUGAUGCUGAUGGACGAACCGGAAGAUGGAUAAUCUGAACGAGUGCCAAGCCAAAGGAUGCUCGCCAAGUGGUCGCCUAACAAACACUAACCUAGUGUUACUCAGGCAACCCCGGUGCAUGCAACCCCUUCCUUGUGUUUUUAAAUACUUUUCGCACACUUUAAGUCUAGUGAAAUGUGCAUUAGGUUUAUAGGAGUUGCUUGAAACCCUUUGAUGCAUUGCCUUCCUUGAUAUCCAUACAUGUUAUAGAUACUUCUUUGGAAGUAUCAAAAUUUGAUUUACAAAAAUGCUUAGCCCUGCUUAGAUCUUGUGGAUAGAGGUUGUCUUUUGCGUUAAGGCCUUGCUCAGGGGUUAUCCUGAGGAAAGAUGACUUCUACCUGCAAGGUUAUAUUUUCAUUGGGAGCAUGGUGGGAUCUUACUGCAAAGUUCCCUAUGAUGCUCUUUUCAUCCUAAGGAAAACAAACAAUCCUAAGGGUGUAAAUACUUAAAUCGGGACUUGGGUUAGGAACGGGUGAUGUUCUACCCAGGUUGAUUAAGGAUUGAACGUGUAUGUAGGUGUGCUGACCGCGGACCCUUUAACUGGUCACAUGCCUCGUCAUGGGUAAGCCUUGCCUCGGGCAGACUAAAGCCAGAAUAAGAUAACACGAAAUGGGCGUGGAGCGGUGGCGAGAGUAGCGUGUACCCUCCGUGGCAAGAGGCUAGACGGUGGUGUAUCUGUGCUCUCGGUUUGCGUGAACCUGAUCUGGUCUUAAGAACCCCGGUGGCGGGUUGACAUAUGCAAGAGUUAAGUGCUACAUAUGUCGUGUGAUUGGAGAUCCUCAGCUGAGUAUAAUCGAUUCGGAUCGCCGUACCUUCGCGGUUAUGAAGACGUGGUAACUUGUCUACAACCUAAGUCAGGAUGUGAACAUUAUGGAUAAAAAUAAUGUUGUAUUGAUGAGAUGAUGAAAUUAGACUAAAGGCAAACAGAGUCUAUUAAUACUUAAUCUGGUGUUAAAAUGUUGAAAGUAAGGACUCACUUUAGUAAGCUAUUUCUGCAAAAGUAUCUAAGUUGAUUUUUGCUAAAGCCUCUCCUUGAUUCCUAUUUAUCCAUCAUACCCUUGAGAGUCUUUUCCUUAGUCGGGUAAGACUUGCUGAGUAAUUCCAUACUCAGGGUUUUAUUCCCUGUUGUUUUUCAGGGUUUUAACUUUGUGCUGUUGUUGAUGGUGUUAAGUGCCGGUGGGCUCGGCCUUCUUAUAAGUCUAAGUACUUCUUCUAUACUUCUUAUUGAGGAUGGUCACUUGAGCUAGAAUAUAUUUCAAACUUAUACUUUUGUAAUCACUCCGAUAAAAUAAUGUAAAAUUUUUGUAACCUGUAAAAUUUGGUAGUAAGAUUUCCGCUGCAACAAUAUUGGUGUGUGUGAUUUGUGUUACUUAAUCCCGCGGUUCUGGUUGUAAGUGGUUUAUCCGAUGUCCUUGGGGCAAUCGGACGGAUCCUGUUAAGUUAUUUAGUGCACAUGCAUAGCUGUCUGAGGUCUUUGAGACAAGGACAUGUGCAUGUGGGCCCAAUAACUUGGGAGGUUCUGCCACAGCUGGUAUCGGAGCAGGAUUAAGUAUAUACGGUCACAUACGUAUUUUCAAAACAAAAGUUUUGGUUUUAGAAAACCUAUUUUCAACUAAACACAUUGUUUGGCUUUGAAAAACAGUUUUGAAAAACUAUAAUGCUAGCGACAUCCUCUGUUAAGCCCUAAGUUAAGGACUAUUAGGUGGCUUAUUUGAAAACCAUAACCCACAACCGGGUGGGUAUUGCAUACAUGUGUAUUGUUAUUUUUAAGGCCAUUCAGUCUUGAAUGGAUCGACACUAAGGUAAGGUGAGAUGUGAGAGCAUGACCGAACAAUUGUCGGUCUAGGGAAGUGUUUAAUUGUUGCGCUUGAUUAUAUACAUGUUACACAUAUGUAUAUAUGAAGGCUGCGAUCUGGAGUAUUUGAUUUUCUAGGAAUUCAGUACCCCAUGGAUGUGUAUGGGUAUACAGACAUGGGAAUACUGAGAAGUGUAUUGUACUUGUAACGACGCACCUACGCUCAGGUAAGAAGGUGAGUUACCAUAAUGAGUUGCCCUAUGGUUAAAGUGUGGCAACGACGCCUAUGCGUGGCUCGGCGCUUAAUGAUGAGCUGGCCUCCAUAUAGCGAUAUAUGGAGUAUAACCUGUGAUAAACUGUCAUGCGUGAACUGCAUCAUGGGAAAAUGGGCUGUGAUGGAUUUUUCUGCAGGUACACUAACCUCGAAAACGUAUGUGUAGCUGACGACUAGCAAAAUACCGAGAGAGAACGUAUGCCACCGAUAUAGAACGUUAUUGCCACAUUAUGUUGGCAAAAUCAGUGAGGACGUAUAGGACGAGCAUGCAUCUUGAUUGUUGCAUCCUGUUUGUCACCUAUACACCCAAAAUGCUUCUCUCAUCUUUAUUCCAGAAACCAUUGAUUGUAAAUAAUAUGGUGUCUUAAAGCUAUAUGUUUAGAUAGCUUUCAGGCUAUUUUAAUUUGACCAUUAGUGCAAAUGGUAUUUGCUCUUGUGCUUGAUGUACUAAUAGAAAGUUAGUGACUUGUUUGCCUAAACCCAAAUCUAGGCCAUGCUCUUAGUUGGUGAACCAUGAUCAAGGUUGAUUUUUCCGUUACCCCUCCUUGACCCAAAUUUAUACAAAUAAAUGUUUAGAUAAUUUCUUCGUUGGACAAAAAGGGUACUUAAGCUUAAAAUAAGAAUCUCGACUCAUAUUUCUAUCGUAGACCAUGCCCUUGACAAUUGGUACAAGCUGAUGUACCUUAUCCAGUUUGCCUGCCCUUAAGGAUCGCCAUGUUGCUUUAUCAACCUAACCUAGGAAAGGCAUGUUUGAUUAUUUUCUUGAAUUUGGUGCCUUUGAUUUUCUCAUAUCUAUCGAAGGCAUACCAACUUAAUCCUUGACUUGUAAUUUUUGCGAUGGCAUAGAAAUAUGCUUGGGGCUGAAGUAACAGUCUCCCAUUGUACUUCUCUCAUCAAGUUUAGGUUAUGGCCAUGUUUUGUUCAUUUCAUUGGGUCAUAAUCUAUUUGGCUCUCUACUUGUAACCAUUCUUACAGGUAGAGUAUCUCCAUGUAUAUUGUCACCCUUGCCCAAUCCAUUGGUGUCGUGCGAGAUUUCUUAUUGGUUACGUCUGGUAAUGGCGUUAUGACUAAAACUGAUGAUGUCGUGACGAAACCGAGGGCCUUCUGUGUGUGCGCACACAUGGUUGUGCUGCUCGGCACGCGCUGGUAUCACAGUUAGUAGUUGUAAUCCACUAUGAGACUAUGUCAAUACGUUAUCUUGGCACAAUCUGUUUUUGCUACGUGAGAUUGUUAUUGGUGCCAGUUCGAUAGUGGUGUCAUGGUUAAUGACUUAUGGUGCCGCAGCGAAACUGAGAGCCUCCUGUGAAUGCGCACACAGGAUUGUGCUACUCCUCGAUGCUGGCAUCAAGGUCUCUGGUCAUGAUCCAUUGUGGAACUGCAUUGAUGUGUGAUCUUUCGUGGAGUCCUCCCUUGAAACAAUUUCUAUGUUGUUUGUCAAGUGAUCAAGCAACAUCUAUCAUCUCUGUUGGAUCAAAAGGGCAUACCACUUUCAUGUGUGAUAUCUUAUCUCUUGACUUUAAUGGUGACUUCACACAUACAAGUUCCCUUUACAUCCUUUGUGUAAAGGUGAAGCCUUGGAGCUUUUUAGUGUUGCAAGACAACCAAUUAGUUCCCAAAAUGGAGAUUUGUUUCCCCUGCUGCUGAAAUACAGGAGUUUGUUCAUUCGCUCUCUUAUUUAAUCCAUGUAUUCCCUAACCAAGUCGGUUCAUCUCGUAUAGAAGAAACGGAUGAACGACCAGACCAAAUGGAUUCCUGCCCAAAUGCAUGACCAACUGUUAAUAUGAGUAAACUCUGAACCCUUGGCUUACCGAUGGUACUGAGAGGACUUACUCAAUGUCAAAAGUAGUUCAACAAGUUGGUUUUGACUAACUUGUAACUGCAUUUGAAACAAAGGUUGAGUUUAGAGAUCGUUUUAUCAAUUUGCCUGAACUCACUUUGGUCUAACCGACUCUAAAGAAAGUACUCACAAAAGUUAAGUUAAGUCGACCAAUAACCACCUAAUCAUCGCUCUAGUCGUGCCUCGAUCACCUCACGUGUGCUUUUCGAGCAUGUGUGAUUAAGUCGAGCCAUGGUUAGUAUUUGAUGAAAUGGGUUGGUCGCGAAGUCAACAUCAAUGGAUCUCUUCAUUGAUAUUUUCUCGAAUCUUUAUCGUCUUUCAUGGACUUGAAUUCUCUGGUUAGCCAUAUGUUAACCAUGACAGUAUUCGACAUCCACAUCUGUCUUGUGUGCUACGAACUCACUGUGACCACUUGUUGGUAAACCUCUUUCUGUGUGUUUUACCCAAGAGGUUGCAUCUGGUUCUGUUUGGGUAAAGCCGUAUAUCUAUCGCUCGCUCAACAGACUCAGAUAGUACCGUGUCAUCAGAAAAAGCAAACUGCACACAUGGAACCUUAUGUGUUCUUCUGGCAGGCAUUGUCUCUAUUGUUGGACAUCUCUAAAUUAGCCUAAGGCGAUAUAUGUUAUGUCCACUAGAGAAACCACAUCCUGAGACACUCGUCUUUGUUUGGAACUACCUUAGGGUUAUCGCUGAUAUGGACAUGUUACAUACUUCUCUACCCUUAGAAGUCUUUCGCUCUGAAUCUCGGGACGAGAUUCUUUUAAGGGGGGAGGGCUGUAACACCCCUAGUGUCUAUAUUCCGCUCGACAACGAGUAUGGAUUUAAGCACGUAAUAUUAGUGGAUAAAACGGAUGCUAAAUUCUUAAACAUCUUCGUCUAUCACGAUUUUUAUAUCGCAUCUGUUCCAUCUGUCGCGAGUGCGACGACGUUUUUAUUUUUAUCUAUUCGGGCUCCUCCUAAAUUUUGGUGACGUUCGGAACAUCGUUGUUUCGAAGGUCAGUGCGUCCGGUGAUUAUUUAAAAUUCAUCGCUCGCGCGAAUACGAAUUCGGAAGUCCGACUCACUCGGAUGAUUUUUAUCCCGAGCAAAUUAGUUGAAACUUGACGACUAAAAUGUUCGGAGCAAAAUAGUCUGAAUCGCGUGUUGUCCGAGAAAAAUCAUGCGUGAUGUUAUAAUCCAAUUUAUUCUUCAGCACGCUGUUUCGAAGACAAAAUCGCGUAUACGUUCGCAGAUAUUGUUUCGGCUAAUUUCGGUCGAAUCACGCCGAACAAAUUAUCAGUGCCGAAAUCAGUUUAUUUCGGUCUGUCGUUUCUCGCCUAGAUCCCAAAACUUCGGAUAUAAAUAAUGGGUGAAAAUUUAUCUGACUGCGAAGUAUUCACUAAGUUAAAUCCGGUUUAAAUAUUGUUGUCGAUCUUAUUUGGUUCGACCCUUUUAUAUAUCUUGUAGACCCUCGUUUCAUACCCCAAAAUAUCUGCAUUUCACUUUUGUAAAAAUAAGUAAAAUUAGGAAAUAUCUUUCUAGAUUUUCCGGAGCUAUUUUCAUCUCCUUCCCUCUUCCGUGGAGCACUAGCAUAUCCUCUUGAGCCUAGGAUUUUUUUUCACGAAACGACUCACGAGUUCAGCUCAAGAAAUAUCACCACACAGCUAUCUCCCUUAUCUUCUUCCCUCGCGUAAGUUCUGCUCAUUUUAUUCCAACCGUUGUUCUCAUCCGUUUGGGCAGCAAGGAAAAAUCUGGCCGCCGUCUUCAUCUCCUCCCGUCGCUAUCCUCUCUGCCGUCGUCCUCAGCCAUCGCAAGAUUUUUCCGGCCGCCAAAGCUCCCACCGUCGUUCUCUCUUGAUAUUUCCUGGUUGUCGGUGUUUAUCCCCUCUCGCGCUCGGCUCCCAGGAGCAGAUUUUCUGGCCGCCCAGCUGUUUCUUCCUCCCUGCGCUCGGAUUUCCUCUACCCCAACCGGGUCUCCCUGCGCGUCGCGGAGCUCUAGCUCGGUGUUUCCCCAGCUCGCCCUGGUCGUCUCCAGCUCGCCGAGCUCUGCCCGCUCCCCAUGGCCGAGCUCCAUCCCUGCCCCUCUUCAACUCAGCUCGCCUCUCUUUCUCUCUGUACACACGCAGUCUCUUUCUUUCCCAAACUGUGACUCCGCUGUGGAGCUCCCCGCGGCUCAACUCGAAGUUCCUCCCCGCUCGGCGCCCAACCCCUGCGUCGCGUCCAUCCUCUGCUCUUCCUGUUCGCCGGCAGAAGCUCCCAGCCGAGCGUUCCUUCUCUUCGCCGCGCGCCCAGCCGUCGAAGCUCCCUGCCAUCGUCGUUUUCGGCCCUGCCGUUGGUACAACAUCAUUUGCUGUUGCUAGUUGAUGCAACGUUGCCGUCCUUCGACGCCGCGCCGUGAGCAGCGACUUCGUCGAUCCGUCAUUUUGACAAGGUACUUGCGCUACUCUCCUGUGUAUGUGAUGAUUGGAAAAGGAGUCCCAGCUGAUGAAGGAUUAAGCUGAUGAAGGAUUAAGGAACGAAAGCUCUAGUACACCGCCUGCCAGCUGAUCAUCGUACAUCCUGAACCAGGGUUUAAUCAUUUUCUUUGUGAAGUUCGAGCCGAUUAUAAUUUUGGAAGGAGAUUUGGUGCUGAAGUCAAAGCUAGCAGCCCCUUUAUUCUUCGUCGUCAACCCACGCCGCGUCGCGACGUGCCCGUCGAUCCCGACGAUCUAUCUGCCAGAUGCGUGCCACUUGUGUUGAGCUCCAAAGCCCCUGUCGAGCUCUUCCCCUGAAAGCCGCCUUCGAGCACAACCCCUGUCAUGUGUUCGAUGGGAAGUCUGAACCAAUGCUCAUCGUCGAUCUACGAUUAUCAAAUCAUUCUGGUCAUGGUAAGUCGAUGAGUUAUUCAGAAUAGUUCAAUUGUUGAAUAAAUUAAUGUGCUAGUGUGAUGCUCACUAGUUGCUCGAUAAAUUACGCGAGUCACGGAACUCUCGUCGACUUCGCGGUUCUUGCGAUUAUCGAGCCAGGUUCUAUUAUAGCGAGUUAUUUCGCUAUUCCGGUCAAUUAGCUGAAUUAGUGUACCGAGUAGAAUAUUAGUAGGCCAAUAUUUUAAUCCCUUGUAAAGAUGUAGUAUAAUUUAUAAAGCAAGAGAUAAGGUUAGCAUUUAAUUAAUUAGCUGGUGAGUUGUGUAGGUUAAUUGUAUUUCAUGUGUAUAGUUUAUUGUUCGUGAUGUUUGUGUUAGAUUCGAGAAGCGUAAUUAUUGCGCUUA